rnacentral:rRNA from 1 species
AGCAACANCUGACGCUGAUGGACGAAAGCGUGGGGAGCGAACAGGAUUAGAUACCCUGGUANNNCNCGCNGUAAACGAUGNUAACUCGUUUUUGGGGCUUUAAGCUUCAGAGACUAAGCGAAAGUGAUAAGUUAGCCACCUGGGGAGUACGGACGCAAGUCUGAAACUCAAAGGAAUUGACGGGGGCCCGCACAAGCGGUGGAUUAUGUGGUUUAAUUCGAUGAUACGCGAGGAACCUUACCAAGGCUUAAAUGGGAAAUGACAGGUUUAGAAAUAGACUUUUCUUCGGACAUUUUUCAAGGUGCUGCAUGGUUGUCGUCAGCUCGUGCCGUGAGGUGUUAGGUUAAGUCCUGCAACGAGCGCAACCCCUGUCACUAGUUGCCAUCAUUAAGUUGGGGACUCUAGUGAGACUGCCUACGCAAGUAGAGAGGAAGGUGGGGAUGACGUCAAAUCAUCACGGCCCUUACGCCUUGGGCCACACACGUAAUACAAUGGCCAGUACAGAGGGCAGCUACCAGGCGACUGGAUGCGAAUCUCGAAAGCUGGUCUCAGUUCGGAUUGGAGUCUGCAACUCGACUCUAUGAAGCUGGAAUCGCUAGUAAUCGCGCAUCAGCCAUGGCGCGGUGAAUACGUUCCCGGGCCUUGUACACACCGCCCGUCAAGCCAUGGAAGUCUGGGGUACCUG